UACGUAGGGUGCAAGCGUUGUCCGGGAUUAUUGGGCGUAAAGAGCUCGUAGGCGGUUUGUCGCGUCUGCUGUGAAAGUUCGGGGCUCAACCCCGGAACUGCAGUGGGUACGGGCAGACUAGAGUGCGGUAGAGGAGACUGGAAUUCCUGGUGAAGCGGUGGAAUGCGCAGAUAUCAGGAGGAACACCAGUGGCGAAGGCGGGUCUCUGGGCCGCAACUGACGUUGAGGAGCGAAAGCGUGGGGAGCUAACAGG
rnacentral:rRNA from 1 species